rnacentral:rRNA from 1 species
CAGCCGCCGCGGUAAUACGAAGGGGGCUAGCGCUGCUCGGAAUGACUGGGCGUAAAGGGCGCGUAGGCGGUUUUGACAGUCAGAUGUGAAAUUCCUGGGCUUAACCUGGGGGCUGCAUUUGAGACGUCAAGACUAGAGUGUGUCAGAGGAUGGUGGAAUUCCGAGUGUAGAGGUGAAAUUCGUAGAUAUUCGGAAGAACACCAGUGGCGAAGGCGGCCCGCUGGACAAGUAUUGACGCUGAGGUGCGAAAGCGUGGGGAGCAAACAGGAUUAGAUACCCGCGUAGUCCCUGUCUCUUAUAC